UACGGAGGAUCCGAGCGUUAUCCGGAUUUAUUGGGUUUAAAGGGUGCGCAGGCGGGGGAUUAAGUCGGCGGUGAAAUUUUGCAGCUCAACUGUAAAAGUGCCUUCGAAACUGGUUUCCUUGAGUGUAGAUGAAGUAGGCGGAAUUUGUGGUGUAGCGGUGAAAUGCAUAGAUAUCACGAGGAACUCCGAUUGCUAAGGCAGCUUACUAAGCCAUAACUGACGCUCAAGCACGAAGGCGUGGGGAUCAAACAGGAUUAGAUACCCGUGUAGU
rnacentral:rRNA from 1 species